CAUCAGUUAAAAUUGCAUAGGGCUUAUCAUCAAGUUCUUCAAUUAUUUUCUUUCUAGUUUCUAUGGCACAACAAUGAAUAAUUUAUUUUUGUAUCUCUGGGCUAGUUAAGGUGCAAUUACCUGGAGCAUUAUUCAAGACAUACUUGUUCACUUCAUCACUAUUUCCUGCAAGAAACUUCAAAAGUUCAAUGAAAUUUCCUCUGUUGCUAGACUCUUCAUUUUCA
rnacentral:lncRNA from 1 species